AGUGAACGCUGGCGGCGUGCCUAAUACAUGCAAGUCGAACGGAGAUUAAGUAGCUUGCUAUUUAAUCUUAGUGGCGCACGGGUGAGUAAUAUAUAGCUAACUUGCCCAUUACUAAGGGACAACAGUUGGAAACGACUGCUAAUACCUUAUACUCCGUAUCUAUAUAAGUAGAUACGGGAAAGUUUUUCGGUAAUGGAUAGGGCUAUAUCGUAUCAGCUAGUUGGUAAGGGAAUGGCUUACCAAGGCUAUGACGCGUAACUGGUCUGAGAGGAUGAUCAGUCAGACUGGAACAGAGACACGGUCCAGACUCCUACGGGAGGAAGCAGUAGGGAAUAUUGCUCAAUGGGGGAAACCCGGAAGCAGCAACGCCGCGUGGAGGAUGACACUUUUCGGAGCGUAAACUCCUUUUCUUGGGAAAGAAUUAUGACGGUACCCAAGGAAUAAGCACCGGCUAACUACGUG
rnacentral:rRNA from 1 species